UGCUUGGGUAUCUGCCCUGAUGUGGGGGAUAACAGUUGGAAACGACUGCUAAUACCGCAUAAUGUCUACGGACCAAAGGUGGCCUCUCCCUGGAAGCUAUCGCAACAGGAUGAACCCAAGUGGGAUUAGCUGGUUGGUGAGGUAACGGCUCACCAAGGCGACGAUCCCUAGCUGGUCUGAGAGGAUGAUCAGCCACACUGGAACUGAGACACGGUCCAGACUCCUACGGGAGGCAGCAGUGGGGAAUAUUGCACAAUGGGCGAAAGCCUGAUGCAGCCAUGCCGCGUGUGUGAAGAAGGC
rnacentral:rRNA from 1 species